GUAGAAAAUUGUGCAGAACGACCACGCCAGUCACGAUUGUCUGGCUCUGAAUAACGACUUAGAGACUGAUUUGGCAUAUUGAUUUCUCCAUGACUCCAGCUUUGAUCUUCACCAAAAAGCUCAUCUUCAAUUUCUCGUUUGAUUUUUAAGAUCUCAUCAGAGAUCACACCAGCCUCUCUGAGUUGCAGCAGCUGGUCUCUCGUGUACCGCACACGGUCACGAAUCUCAAAUCGUGAGUCCCCGGUCUUUGGAGGCGGAGCACCACCGUGAGGACGCAAGAGAGGGAGAUCACCAAAAGCGAUAGA
rnacentral:misc_RNA from 1 species